CCUUCGAUAGCUCAGUUGGUAGAGCGGUGGACUGUAGAAAAUUUGGAAAGUGAAAAAACUGCGCAGUCUAGGUGCAGUUGAUCAUAUGCAGAGCUUUCCGAUCGUGUAGAGAAAUCCAUAGGUCACUGGUUCAAAUCCGGUUCGAAGGA
rfam:Anopheles culicifacies strain species A-37_1 cont1.7414, whole genome shotgun sequence.